rnacentral:rRNA from 1 species
UGGGGAAUUUUGGACAAUGGGCGAAAGCCUGAUCCAGCAAUGCCGCGUGUGUGAAGAAGGCCUUCGGGUUGUAAAGCACUUUUGUCCGGAAAGAAAUCCUUGGCUCUAAUACAGUCGGGGGAUGACGGUACCGGAAGAAUAAGCACCGGCUAACUACGUGCCAGCAGCCGCGGUAAUACGUAGGGUGCGAGCGUUAAUCGGAAUUACUGGGCGUAAAGCGUGCGCAGGCGGUUUGCUAAGACCGAUGUGAAAUCCCCGGGCUCAACCUGGGAACUGCAUUGGUGACUGGCAGGCUAGAGUAUGGCAGAGGGGGGUAGAAUUCCACGUGUAGCAGUGAAAUGCGUAGAGAUGUGGAGGAAUACCGAUGGCGAAGGCAGCCCCCUAGGCCAAUACUGACGCUCAUGCACGAAAGCGUGGGGAGCAAAC